ACGGCGAGUGACAGAGAAAAGCCCAGCGCUAAAUCAUUUGAUUGUUAUAAUCAUUUUGAGCUGUAGCGUAUAGAUGCAAUUAUCUUAUUAUUUUGUGCACUCAAAGUUCCCUUGAGCGGGGCUAAAGUCCAAAGAAGGUGCUAGACCUGUACGGGUGACAAAAUAUUAAGUCGAUUGCUUCUUGGAGUCGGGUUGCCUGAGAUUGCAGCCCAAAGUGGGUGGUAGACCUCAUCUAAGGCUAAAUAUGGCCACGAGACCGAUAGCAAACAAGUACCGUGAGGGAAAGUUGAAAAGAACUAUGAGAAUAGAGUUAAAGGAGGACGUGAAACCGCUGGGAUGGAAACGAAUAGAGUUGACGAAACCUAUUGUCAUUCAACCGAUUAACUUUGCGGCUUUUUGACGUUGUACCGCACAAAAUUAUUUUGCUGGACAACGACAAAAAAUGCUGUUAAGUAGCAAGUGUGGCCUGUGUAAUUGGUGCAUUUGAUGGUAGUACGCGCCGAGUGCUGCGUUGUUGUGCGACAAAACGUAUGUAGUAGCCCGUACAAUUUUUGUGCGCAAGCUUGCAUGCGUAAAAGCGUAUUGGCAAUGCGGUAGUUUUGUAAACUUUCGCCGUAUGGUGCGUUACUGUUCGCCUACGAUUGGUAUAUCUAUGGUGCAAUCGCUUGCGUAUUGUCUGUAGUUUGUGCUAUUCAAGCGGUGCAGGUAAACGCGUUAAAGUUGCGUCUCGGUGUGAGCGUCAAUCACCUAUUCGACCCGUCUUGAAACACGGACCAAGGAGUCUAGCAUAUGCGCAAGUUAUUUGGUGGUAAACCAUAAAAACGUAAUGAAAGUAAACGUCGUCUUGAUACGAUGAAAUAUGUGAGCUGUGUGU
rnacentral:rRNA from 1 species